UCUGAAAACCCAUGCUGCUGGAAUAUGGUUUUGAACAAUCCGUUUUGAGAAUUGGAAGCAUAUUAAUGUCGGGAUCUGUAUCACUGUAAUUUAAAACACUGCAAUAAAGAAAAAGUGCAGAUUAGACAUCAGAUCACUAAUGAAAUGAAGAAAAAAAAAAAAAAAAAAAAAAGAAAAGACAUAUCUAUUAUGAUUAUAGCGGUCAAGAUUUCAAGUAAGUUUAAAAAUUCAAUUAUCAAAAUUCAAGCAAAUGAAGAACUGGUAGGAAACAAAGUAGCAAAUUCCUAAAUACACAAAUCAUUGAAGAUGUUUAGCAUUGGUUGCAACAAUGCAUUGCAAUUGCUGCUGCAUAAAAUAGGUUAUCACCAAUCUGACCAUGGGUAAGGAAAAAAAAUGAGUCUUCACAUAUACUAAGGAACAACAAACCUAAAUAUAAUCACCAUGAACUUUUGUCAAAAAAAAAAAUUCACCAAGAACUAAAAGAAUAAAAUGAAUCAAAAUUAUACUCAAAAAUCAAUUUCCCCUUAAAAUUAAUUUUUUUAUUGAAACAUUAUACUCUAACUAAAUUAGUUUUCUCUGGGUAUAACAUGUGGAUAUCGUGUGGACAUGAAAUUAUAAUUUUAAAUCAAAAUCAAAGACAGGAUUCAAAUGCAACAACUAUUGACGAAAAUAAACAUGAAAGAAGGGAAAACUUACGAAAUUGUUAGGAACCAAAAAAGAAGAAGCAGGAGCAGAAGAUUUCCAAGAACAUCAAGCCUCCUAGUCGCAAAACAUAAGCAAAUGUGAAAUAGAAUAUAAAAGGGGAUGUAGGAAGCGAAUCAAAAACCAAAAUCAUCACCGGAAUCAUAAAUCGAAAUCAAAACCGAUUUGAUAUAGCAUAACUUACAAUCUUCAAGCAAUGAUUCAGCAACAUUCAGAAUGGUCCUCAAUUUGCGGUUUUCGGUGGAAGUUAUGGUGGAGUUGUUGUCAAUAUGUUGUUUUUGUGUGGGUUGAGGGGAGGUAGAGAGAUAUGGGUUCUAUAAAAUGAGAGAGAUAGAAAGAGACAGGGGUAUAAAGAGUUUUGUUAGAAAGAUGGAUAUAAAGAAGAGUAAAACUCCUCGUCUGAUAGAAACUAACUUUGGAAAACGGCAAACAAUUGAUUGCAGAUCGGAAAACCAAAAGAUUGUGGCUGUGUGCACUACAAUCAUAACUAUCCAUUAUAGUGAAAUUUGAAAUUCAAAAUCAGCAUUAAAUGGAUUAGGGUGAGAGAUUUCCCACUCAGUAAUCUAGGGUGAGAGAUUUCAACCACCCAAAAAUCAAGUGAAAAAUCUGUCUUAUGUUUCUCUCUUCACGCAUUCGGUGCUCCGUCAUCGUCGACUCCGCCGACCUUUCAAUUUGAUUCAAAUCUUUCCUUUCUCAAGCACAAUCAAUGGCCCCUUCUCUUCUG
rnacentral:lncRNA from 1 species